AGCGAACGUUAGCGGCGGGCCUAACACAUGCAAGUCGCACGAGAAUGAGGGGGCAACUCCUCUAGUAAAGUGGCGGACGGGUGCGUAACACGUGGGUAAUCUACCUUCCAGCGGGGGACAACCGUCCGAAAGGAUGGCUAAUACCGCGUACGUCGGCAGGGGCUCCGGUCCUUGCUGGGAAAGACGGCCUCUCCUCGGAAGCUGUCACUGGAAGAUGAGCUCGCGUCCCAUCAGCUAGUGGUGAGGUAACGGCUCACCAAGGCUUAGACGGGUAGCUGGUCUGAGAGGAUGAUCAGCCACACUGGAACUGCGACACGGUCCAGACUCCUACGGGAGGCAGCAGUGGGGAAUAUUGGGCAAUGGGCGAAAGCCUGACCCAGCCACGCCGCGUGAGUGAUGAAGGCCUU
rnacentral:rRNA from 1 species